CCUCAGACAUCAAUGACUCAAUAUCCUAGGGGGAAAGCAUAAGGAAAAGACCAUAAGCAAAAACACAAGAAUGUAGUCCUGCACACCAGGGCAUCACAUAUUAAUCAUCUUUCAAAUUAAGAGUCAUUGCUUAGCAUCACCAAUAUAUGGGAAGAAGGAGCUAAGAAGCAUCACUGAAUGCAUCCCAAAGUCCUGGCAUUGUUCCCUGAAGCACUUUUCAGUUAUGCCGUUUCAUUUCAUAACAUCCCUACAAAGUAGGCUUUACCACCUUUAUUUUAAAGACGAAGAAUUCAAUGUGACAAUGAGCUACUUAGAUGCACACGAUCCAGUAUGCAGCUUACUCUGCUUGCCAGAGAUUCUAUAAUGCUAUUCAGCAGGAAGAAAAAGCAAACCUAGCAUUAUACCAAGUGCCUGUGAUGGUGUCCAGUAUCUGAAAUUCUUGUACACUGCUGGUGGGGGUGGAAAUUGGUACAACCACUUUGGAUAACAGUUUGCACUAUUGAAUAAAAUUGGAGAUUCAGUA